rnacentral:rRNA from 1 species
AACGAACGCUGGCGGCAUGCCUAACACAUGCAAGUCGAACGAGACCUUCGGGUCUAGUGGCGCACGGGUGCGUAACGCGUGGGAACCUGCCCUUAGGUUCGGAAUAACUCCCCGAAAGGGGUGCUAAUACCGGAUAAUGUCUUCGGACCAAAGAUUUAUCGCCUUUGGAUGGGCCCGCGUUGGAUUAGCUAGUUGGUAGGGUAAAAGCCUACCAAGGCGACGAUCCAUAGCUGGUCUGAGAGGAUGAUCAGCCACACUGGGACUGAGACACGGCCCAGACUCCUACGGGAGGCAGCAGUGGGGAAUAUUGGACAAUGGGCGAAAGCCUGAUCCAGCAAUGCCGCGUGAGUGAUGAAGGCCUUAGGGUUGUAAAGCCCUAUUACCCGGGAUGAUAAUGACAGUACCGGGAGAAUAAGCUCCGGCUAACUCCGUG